AAGUUAAGAAAAUGCGCUCACUUGGGGAAAGUAGGAAGAAAGCUUGAGGAGAUGAGCGAAGAAGGGCAGAUGAGUGAAGAAGGGUCAGAUAGAAGAUGCAGGCAGGAAGGAAGCUUGUCAGUGGUCGGAGGAGGACCAGGUGAGUGUGUCACUGAGGAGGCCAAGAAAGUUGAAAUUUUCAAGAUGAGAGAGAAUGGUCAAUGGCGGCCAGUGUCACAAAGAAUCCAAGUAAGGGAAGACCAGAAACAUGUCCACAGGAUUUGGCAGGUGAGCCUUGCCACAGCAAUUUCAGCUAAGUAAUGAGAACAGAAGCCUGGCUGAGAGAGAUUAAGAACGGACUUUACUGGAAGGUAAUUGAAAGCUUGGAAAGCAAAACCCUGGAUAAGAGGGACCUACUGCUCACAGUCUCUCCAGGGACCUUAUGUCAAAUCUGAGAGGGGAGAAGAAAUGUAUGAAGACAGAACCAUUUUAUGGAGCAUGGGGCUCUGCCAGGCGCAGCUAUAGAUGUUAUCACAUCCAUCUUCUCAGCCACCCUGUGAAGGAGUUAUCAGCAGGCCCAUGCAGACAAAGAAAUUGAGGAAGAUUCAGUGAUUCGCUCCAGGUCAGCAGCUGAAAUUUCAGAAGAGGAAAAGAAUCUGGAAACAGAAUCUCUGAAUCUCUGACCGUCUAAUGCUGCAGGUUUUGGAAGGCUGCCAACGUGCUCAAGGAGCCAUGGAGAAAAUAAGUGCUGUCCCUUCAAAGAAACGUCUUUCA
rnacentral:lncRNA from 1 species